GAUGAACGCUAGCGGCAGGCCUAACACAUGCAAGUCGAGGGGUAGAAUUAGCUUGCUAAUUUGAGACCGGCGCACGGGUGCGUAACGCGUAUGCAAUCUACCUUGUACAGGGGGAUAGCCCAGAGAAAUUUGGAUUAAUACUCCAUGGUAUAAUUGAAUCGCAUGGUUUGAUUAUUAAAGUUCCAACGGUACAAGAUGAGCAUGCGUCCCAUUAGCUAGUUGGUGUGGUAACGGCAUACCAAGGCGACGAUGGGUAGGGGUCCUGAGAGGGAGAUCCCCCACACUGGUACUGAGACACGGACCAGACUCCUACGGGAGGCAGCAGUGAGGAAUAUUGGUCAAUGGUCGGAAGACUGAACCAGCCAUGCCGCGUGCAGGAAGACGGUCCUAUGGAUUGUAAACUGCUUUUGUACGGGAAGAAACACUCCUUCGUGAAGGAGCUUGACGGUACCGUAAGAAUAAGGAUCGGCUAACUCCGUGCCAGCAGCCGCGGUAAAACGU
rnacentral:rRNA from 1 species